CCACACUUCGUUCACUGAAGAGGGAGAGAGGCGACGCGGAGGGCGAUCGCUAGGGUUUGCCAAGCCGUCACCUUGGUCGCCCCCGUCGUCGUCAAAUUGGCCGGUUCCGCGAGGCCACCCACUCCCCCUACUCUGGCCACGAUUCUCCACUCCUUCGUCCACAACAAGUUCUGAAAAUAGCACCUCUUCUCCUAAAUCCCUGGCUGCGCCGCCCGAAGCUCUAUUGGUACCAGCUUCGAACAAGUCUAUUCCAGCCCCAUCUAGUACCACUUCACAGGUCCGGGAUCCAUUUUGAGACGCGGAGGUUUCUAGGAUCACAUCUUCUAUGGCAACCAUGUAUCGCUAGACUAUAUUAGGUGGGACUGUCUCAAAUCCACAGUAAAGCAUUGCAAACCUCCCAUAUCAUACUAUGUAUACACCAUCACACACUUGGCAGUCAUCAGAGGGAAGAGCAAGAUGGAUUACAGUGAGGCCUACGUCAAAUAUUAUCUCCGACAUCCCAUGGUUGUGCGUGUCACCACCAAAAUUUUUGAAGGUUCUAAAAAGGUCUUGUUCAAGAUGGGCAAGAAGGACGGGCAUGCGAUCACGAGAAGAACUGGAGAGAAGUCGUUGAGGGCACCAAAAUGAAAGAAGAUCUUAUGGCUAUCUUCAGGUUCAUGGAAAGGAGGGGAGGUGGGCUUAAGAUGAACAUGGCCAGUGGCAUGAAGAUUCGUUGACCCAUGUGAAGAACCAUGACUGAAUGAACUAGUUUGAUGCUAGUUGUUAUAAUAUGUAUGUACUAGCCAGUAACUAUAAGUUGGUAGUGUCAGCUUUUGGGUAGAGUAAGUGGAACUUACUAGUAAUUGGUACUUGGUGGUAAGUAGUACUUUGGUAGUAUAACUUUUGGGUCCGACUGGAUAUGAACAUCAGCUAGUAAGUCGAACUUGGCAGUAACUGGUUGGUGGUUGUAUGAACUUAUGUGGCGUAAUGUUCUUGGUAUGCAAGUCUAUAUAU